rnacentral:rRNA from 1 species
GACGAACGCUGGCGGCGUGCUUAACACAUGCAAGUCGAACGGUAAGGCCCUUCGGGGUACACGAGUGGCGAACGGGUGAGUAACACGUGGGUGAUCUGCCCUGCACUUCGGGAUAAGCCUGGGAAACUGGGUCUAAUACCGGAUAGGACCACUGCCUGCAUGGGUGGUGGUGGAAAGCUUUUGCGGUGUGGGAUGGGCCCGCGGCCUAUCAGCUUGUUGGUGGGGUGAUGGCCUACCAAGGCGACGACGGGUAGCCGGCCUGAGAGGGUGACCGGCCACACUGGGACUGAGAUACGGCCCAGACUGCUACGGGAGGCAGCAGUGGGGAAUAUUGCACAAUGGGCGCAAGGCUGAUGCAGCGACGCCGCGUGAGGGAUGACGGCCUUCGGGUUGUAAACCUCUUUCAGCACCGACGAAGCGCAAGUGACGGUAGGUGCAGAAGAAGGACCGGCCAACUACGUGCCAGCAGCCGCAGUAAUAC